UUCUACGGCCAUGCCACCCUGAACAAGCCUGAUGGGAGACCACUUAGGAAGCUAAGCAGGGUCAGGCCUGGUUAGUACUUGGAUGGGAGACCACUUAGGAAGCUAAGCAGGGUCAGGCCUGGUUAGUACUUGGAUGGGAGACCACUUAGGAAGACCAGGUGCUGUAGGCA
rnacentral:rRNA from 1 species